GAUGAAGAACGCAGCGAAAUGCGAUAAGUAAUGUGAAUUGCAGAAUUCAGUGAAUCAUCGAAUCUUUGAACGCACAUUGCGCCCGCCAGUAUUCUGGCGGGCAUGCCUGUCCGAGCGUCAUUUCAACCAUCAAGCCCCCGGGCUUGUGUUGGGGACCUGCGGCUGCCCGCAGGCCCUGAAAACCAGUGGCGGGCUCGCUGUCACACCGAGCGUAGUAGCAAUCACCUCGCUCAGGGCGUGCUGCGGGUUACGGCCGUUAAACAGCCUUACAAAACCCAAGGUUGACCUCGGAUCAGGUAGGAAGACCCGCUGAACUUAAGCAUAUCAAUAAGCGGAGGA
rnacentral:misc_RNA from 1 species